rfam:Massilia sp. LC238 contig13, whole genome shotgun sequence.
AAUUCCGAGGAGCGUUGCGACGAAGAUUCCCAUCUUCGCCAGGCUCGGAUAUCAGCAACCGCGCUCACGUUAC